rnacentral:rRNA from 1 species
UCGUCACACUAUCAUUAACUGAAUCCAUAGGUUAAUGAGGCGAACCGGGGGAACUGAAACAUCUAAGUACCCCGAGGAAAAGAAAUCAACCGAGAUUCCCCCAGUAGCGGCGAGCGAACGGGGAGGAGCCCAGAGCCUGAAUCAGCAUGUGUGUUAGUGGAAGCGUCUGGAAAGGCGCGCGAUACAGGGUGACAGCCCCGUACACAAAAGCGCAUGUGCUGUGAGCUCGAUGAGUAGGGCGGGACACGUGGUAUCCUGUCUGAAUAUGGGGGGACCAUCCUCCAAGGCUAAAUACUCCUGACUGACCGAUAGUGAACCAGUACCGUGAGGGAAAGGCGAAAAGAACCCCGGCGAGGGGAGUGAAAAAGAACCUGAAACCGUGUACGUACAAGCAGUGGGAGCCCCACCACCAAAGCAUUCUCUGGUGUUGAAGGCCCUGCAAAGCAGCAUCGCGGUGGCGGAGCGUCGUUUGCGACGCCCAACACACAAAACAAGCGGUGAGUGCUUUGGGGUGGGGUGACUGCGUACCUUUUGUAUAAUGGGUCAGCGACUUAUAUUCUGUAGCAAGGUUAACCGAAUAGGGGAGCCGGAGGGAAACCGAGUCUUAAUUGGGCGUUAAGUUGCAGGGUAUAGACCCGAAACCCGGUGAUCUAGCCAUGGGCAGGUUGAAGGUUGGGUAACACUAACUGGAGGACCGAACCGACUAAUGUUGAAAAAUUAGCGGAUGACCUGUGGCUGGGGGUGAAAGGCCAAUCAAACCGGGAGAUAGCUGGUUCUCCCCGAAAGCUAUUUAGGUAGCGCCUCGUGAAUUCAUCUCCGGGGGUAGAGCACUGUUUCGGCUAGGGGGCCAUCCCGGCUUACCAACCCGAUGCAAACUGCGAAUACCGGAGAAUGUUAUCACGGGAGACACACGGCGGGUGCUAACGUCCGUCGUGAAGAGGGAAACAACCCAGACCGCCAGCUAAGGUCCCAAAGUCAUGGUUAAGUGGGAAACGAUGUGGGAAGGCCCAGACAGCCAGGAUGUUGGCUUAGAAGCAGCCAUCAUUUAAAGAAAGCGUAAUAGCUCACUGGUCGAGUCGGCCUGCGCGGAAGAUGUAACGGGGCUAAACCAUGCACCGAAGCUGCG